CCACUUGUCUGCUGUGUGAACAUGGGCAAGUCACUUCCCUUCUCUGUGCCUAGUCACCUCAUCUGUAUAUUGGGGAUGAAACCUUCUUCCCUCCGACGUAACUGUGAAGGACAGGGACUAUGUCCAACCUCAUUAUCUUGUACCCACCCUAGUGCUUAGUACAGUGUCUGGCACAUGGUAAGCACUUAAUAAGUACCACUGGGGAAAAAAAAUCCCUGCUGCAGAGUGCAAUGUGGACUAGAGUCGAGAGAGACUGGAAGCGGGGGAGGUGUCGGGCCGAUAUGAUGAUGCGGCCCAGUGUGGGAGCUAAGCGUUCUGUCUGGGAGGGUCUAGGAAUUUUGAUGUGACCAAAGCUAUCAGAGGAUAAAUUUAAAAAAAAAUUUAAUGGUACUAAGCGCUUACUAUGUGCCAGGCACCAUGCUGGGACAGAUACUGGGACCAGAAAUGUAGGAGAUGGGCUAAAGGGAGGGAUUGACACCCCCCCUUUCUAAUUAUCCAUAUCCCCUCCCCGUCCAAGGUGGAGCAGACUGGGUCAAAUGGGCGGAAGCCAGAGAGGAUGCUGCUAUUCCUUGGAUUUACCUUCUGGCCUCUGACCACUGACCUUGGGACCAGUUGCAGGCUAAUGGGGAGGCUUCUCGCCAACCUCUCUAAGCUUCGUUAUUUUGGAGGGUCUGAUCCUUCCUUCCCAGGACUCUGUUGGGGGUUGUGAACCCUCGCCCCUCUAAGUGCAUUCCUGCUCCCAAGUUGGGAGCAGCCAGCCAACCCCUCCAAGUGGACCCUGAGCACUGUUAUGGCAGCCCCCAAAGGCCUCCCCCUGCCUCGCCUGUCCUGAGUAAAGCGAAAGCCUCUGAGAAGUGGCCAACAUCCCCAGAGCUGCCCCUGCUGCCAAGAGGCCCAGCCGGCGGGUGGACAAUGGUGCGGCCGCCAGAUAAAGAGAUAAAGCCAAUGACCGAAAGGAGUUGGGAAGCGGAGGCGCCCUAAAGCGCUUGGUGCCUAGCUGGCUGAGAAGACGGGCCGCAGAGUCAGAAGAGUGAAAUGGAGAAAAAGUAAAUGACAUCACCACCUGCUCGAGGUGGAUGAGGAUAUGGUAGCAUAACUGGGGGGGAGCUUGAGGGAGAGGCCUGAGGUGGGGGCCAGGUGGAGGGAUGGGGGUGGCCUUGGGAGCCUCCCUCCCUGGUGGUCUGUCUCUCUAGAGUUUGUAGAAAUGAUGGAGAGAAGUGUGGAGGGAGGUAGGGAGUGGAGGGAAAGCUGGGUUAGGGUCCUUGGGGGCUACAGAGGAGUUUGGGGUGGGGUCAGCCCAGAGGGAGUGGAGCGGGCUGGGGGACGUAGGGGGUGUCAUUGGCAGAGUUGGUGAGAGGGACAGGUCAGGCCCUUCCCUUUAGAGCGGAGGGACCCUCUCUAAGGCGGAUUCCCUUCUCAGUCAAAAUGACUUCGCAGAGCUGGGCUGGGCAGGAAGGUAGAGGGGCAGAGGGAGUCAGAAGUGACCAGUGACUAUCCCCUCUCCAGGCCACUGAAAAUACCGGGUGGUUGUGAUGAGAAUCCCAGCUCCUGGGCUAUGUAUCUGGCCAUGAUGGAGCCACCUCUUCCUUGCUCACCGUCCUCAGCCUCUCCUUCAGCUCACUCCCUCUGCCAGGUCAGAAUCCACCUACCACCUUGGGUGAUGAGAUUCUUUUUUUUUUCCCUUUAUUUGCUUUGGGAAAAAGGAGAGGAAAAGAGCAGGGGAGGUGAGCAGGGAAUAGGUAUCUGCAGGGGGUGGGGUCCUGCACAUCCUAUGUGUCUUCUCCUCCAGUGACUCUAGCCUUCUGUGGCCUGGGUCACCCCCCAUUCGCAGGACAAUGUGAGACCAUAAAAGGGACCCUCUCUUCCCCCACUAGUUUCCCUUAUCCAGGCAGUUCGGACCCAAGAGAUGUUUUGCCCACUUGUCUCCAAGUUUUGGAAAUGCCGAGUUUCUAGGAUGACUGAGCCAAAUCCAGCUGUUUCCCGCCCCCCGCCCCUUUCCGACUCGUGGAUUGCCCAUCUUUACCUUCUCCCUGAGCUGGGGCACUCCAGAAACUGAGCCAGAAAGGGGUGGGCAGAGGACCAUGUCAGAAAAAGAGCCUGCGCAUACUAACCCCAGCCUCCACAGUGACCGGUAUGAAGUUUACUUAGGAUUGGAGAGAAAAACAACCGUUCUGCAAAUGCUGUAAAUAAAUUGUGCUGAGGGCUUAAUGUUCCUGACACUAAAUAAAAUAUUCUUUGAUCUGUC